rnacentral:rRNA from 1 species
AGUGAACGCUGGCGGUAUGCCUAACACAUGCAAGUCGAACGGCAGCACAUUAUUAGCUUGCUCGUACGGGUGGCGACUCGCAGACGGCUGCGGAAGACAUCGGAACCUACUUUUUCGUGGGGGAUUACUAAGGGAAACUUACGCUAAUACCGCAUACGACCUACGGGUGAAAGCAGGUGAUCUUCGUACCUUGCGCGGUUGAAUGAGCCGAUGUCGGAUUAGUUAGUAGGCGGGGUAAAGACCGACUAAGGCGACAAUCCGUAGCUGGUCUGAGAGGAUGAUAGGCGACAGUGCGACUGAGACACGGUCCAGACUCCUACGGGAAGACGCAGUGGGGACUAUUGGACAAUGGGCGCAAGCCUGAUCCAGCAAUACCGCGUGGGUGAAGAAGGCCUUCGGGUUGUAAAGCCCUUUUGUUGGGAAAGAAAAGCAGCAGGUUAAUACCCCGCUGUUAUGACGGUACCCAAAGAAUAAGCACCGGCUAACUUCGUG